UCCUGACUUUAUUAUAUAGUGUAAACUAAGAAAUAUACAUGGUUUUUUUGGAAUGUGGCGAGGUAAAGAAUAGUUUUGCGAGAAUAGAACAUUUACGCAAAUCGUCUCUUUAUAAUGUUAUUAUGUAAAUAAUAUUUUGAAAAGUCCCGCUAACACCAGUAUUUAAGGUUAAAUAAAAGAGCGAGAGCUUGUUUUAGUUUAGUUUAUUAGAUCUGGUUAACUUGGUGCCAGCAUCCGCGGUUACACCAAGAGGUCAAAUUAUAUAUAUUAAGGUAAAAAGGCAGUUAGAUACUUUUUAUAUUUAGUUUAUUUAUUGUUUAUAUGAAGGUAAAAUUUGAAUAUAUGUCAAUAGUUCCAAAUACGCUGAUCAAAUUGACUCUGCGACAACCUUGAGGGAAACUGGGAUUAGAUACCCCAUUAUUCUUGGCUUUAAAUUAAUUAAGAUUUACCAGAGUACUACGAAUUAACACAAUUUAAAACUCCAAGGGCUUGGCGGUGUUUUAGACCUUUCAGGGGAACUUGUCUCGUAAUCGACAGUCCACGUUACACCUAACCUUCUUUAGCAUUCAGUUUGUAUAUCGUCGUCGUCAGGUAACUUUUUAGAAUUUAGAAGUUAGCAAUCAAAAUAUAAGUUAAUUUAAACGUCAGAUCAAGAUGCAGCUUAUAAAAAGGUGAUGAUGAGUUACAAUUAAUAUAGUUAUAAAUACGGAUAAGUUAAUGAAAUUAACUUUGAAGGUGGACUUGAAAGUAAGAUGAAAUAUAUAAAUAUUUUGAAUAAGGCUCUGAAACAUGCACACAUCGCCCGUCGCUCUUGUUGAAAAACAAGAUAAGUCGUAACAUAGUAGGGGUAAUGGAAAUUGUCCCUGGACG
rnacentral:ncRNA from 1 species